GGGGGGGGCUAUACAUGCAGUCGAGCGAAUGGAUUAAGAGCUUGCUCUUAUGAAGUUAGCGGCGGACGGGUGAGUAACACGUGGGUAACCUGCCCAUAAGACUGGGAUAACUCCGGGAAACCGGGGCUAAUACCGGAUAACAUUUUGAACUGCAUGGUUCGAAAUUGAAAGGCGGCUUCGGCUGUCACUUAUGGAUGGACCCGCGUCGCAUUAGCUAGUUGGUGAGGUAACGGCUCACCAAGGCAACGAUGCGUAGCCGACCUGAGAGGGUGAUCGGCCACACUGGGACUGAGACACGGCCCAGACUCCUACGGGAGGCAGCAGUAGGGAAUCUUCCGCAAUGGACGAAAGUCUGACGGAGCAACGCCGCGUGAGUGAUGAAGGCUUUCGGGUCGUAAAACUCUGUUGUUAGGGAAGAACAAGUGCUAGUUGAAUAAGCUGGCACCUUGACGGUACCUAACCAGAAAGCCACGGCUAACUACGUGCCAGCAGCCGCGGUAAUACGUAGGUGGCAAGCGUUAUCCGGAAUUAUUGGGCGUAAAGCGCGCGCAGGUGGUUUCUUAAGUCUGAUGUGAAAGCCCACGGCUCAACCGUGGAGGGUCAUUGGAAACUGGGAGACUUGAGUGCAGAAGAGGAAAGUGGAAUUCCAUGUGUAGCGGUGAAAUGCGUAGAGAUAUGGAGGAACACCAGUGGCGAAGGCGACUUUCUGGUCUGUAACUGACACUGAGGCGCGAAAGCGUGGGGAGCAAACAGGAUUAA
rnacentral:rRNA from 1 species